rnacentral:lncRNA from 1 species
AAGCUAACUACGUCCUUCGGUGAAUGCGGGGCGUGCCAACUCGUCGGCCGAGCUCGGCCGAGGAGUAAAUUUGUUGAUGUUGCGUUGAGCGCGCUGCUGACUUCUGUGUCUUGCGAUUGCGGCCGAGGAAGGAACAAUUCUCGGCCUCUUGGGUUCUAGAGCCUGAAGACAAGGCUGCUAAUUUGCGAAGUUCAAUCUCAAAUUCGGCUGUCAAUGUGCCGAAUACAGUAACCUGGUAACACCUCACUUCGCCGAGAAGGCUGAUGAGAUGACCUCGACCAAUAAGGAUUCGGAAAUCCUUCUCGACCGAGACUUGGAUAGGUAACCAGUCGUCCUCGCCGUAGUGCUGUUGAUGCCAACGGAAGAUGCUGCGAGAUCGACCGACUCUACGGUGACAGAGCUAUCUAUGCCGACUUAAGAUAUCACCGGUUGCUUCCACAGUGCUGUUGAUGCCAACGGAAGAUGUGUCAGCGAAAAAAGGAAAAAGAAAAGAUCUCAAGUUGUGAGAGUUUGCGCAGGGCAAUUUUGUAUUGAUUU